GGCGCAAUCUUGAAGUAGAGUAGAUUAGUACGGUCAGAUGACCCUAAUAACCUACCCUACUUCGAAUUUGUUCCC
rfam:Haemonchus placei strain MHpl1 genome assembly, scaffold: HPLM_scaffold0000120